rnacentral:rRNA from 1 species
UACGUAGGGGGCAAGCGUUGUCCGGAUUUAUUGGGCGUAAAGAGCUCGUAGGUGGUUCGGUAAGUCGGAUGUGAAAUCUCCAGGCUCAACCUGGAGGGGUCAUUCGAUACUGCCGUGACUAGAGGUCGGUAGGGGAGUGUGGAAUUCCUGGUGGAGCGGUGAAAUGCGCAGAUAUCAGGAGGAACACCCGCAGCGAAGGCGGCACUCUGGGCCGAUACUGACACUGAGGAGCGAAAGCGUGGGGAGCGAACAGG